GUUCUCUCCUCCCACUUCACAGGUAAGAAAAUGAAACUCGGGACACUCAAGUCACCUUCUCGAGGUCUUUCAGCCAGUAGGUGACCUUGAAGGAUGUCUGCAUUAAGAAAACAGUCUCCUCUCACCUCCUGUGCUCUUGCUACGUGGGAACCAUUGGUUACUUUAGCGAGUAUGAGUUAACGGUGUUGUAAUAAGGCGAUUCUGAAGCAUUCUACCAAUGUCAUGUGAAUCUGGUCAAGGCCAACACCUGUGCUGGUUUAGCUAGUGACUGUGGCAGAACUAGGCCGCUCUCCUGCAAGUGGUGACAUGUGGGGAUCCAGGCUCCUCCCAAGCUGUGGCUCCACCAUCUCAACAAAGCGUUCCAAGGUGCCCUGGGCUUCAUCCAAACGGCAUCAGGGGGAAGAAAGAAACUUCAGAUCAGCCACACUCACUCCUAACUGCCUCUUCUCAGUCUAGUGGCAAGAGUUAGUUUCACGGCCACUUCGUGCCAAGGUUUCGGAGGUCUACGUCAGCAGGUCACCAGAAAGAAUAAAUAGGUCUAAUAAGCAUGCAGCCCAUUUUUCGCAAACUCCACCACACAGGCGAGGAAACAGUGCUACAAAGCACCCAAGUGAGUCAACCCAUGUCACACGGGAGCAAAUUCUGUCUUCCACUGCGGAGCUCUUUGCUGAAAACAUCGACACUUUCUAAAAAUACAUUUUCUCUUUUCAUUUCUUAUCUCACACUUCCUACAGAAAAUUUGAAAAAUACAGAAAAAUUUAAAUAAAAGGUAAAUGAGGGGAACCCUGCAUCUGAAACUCAGCUUGCUUAUAGAAAGCAAAGCAUCACUCAGAAGACAAAAAAAAAAAAAAAAUCUUGUGGGAUUUAAAUCGCUUACUGCAGAACAGUGCCUGGUGCCUGGAAUGCUGUUGGGCGGUCUAAUGCGCUUUGAAAAACUCCAUGGAGCCCUUGGGCUGGAAAGGGAGAUGAAAGGAAGCUACGGAUGAGCAGCGAAGCGGUCAGGCUCGGAGCCCUCCCUCACCUCUGCAAUCAGCACGUUCCCAAGUCUAAUGAGAACCACAAGUUCCCGAGGAAGUACUUACCGCACAAUUUGUCACCACGAUUUCUAAAUGGCUUAGGGUGAUCAUGACACCUUUAAUCUCUGCAAUGCCAGGGGAAUACUCGAAAGGCUGUUAAUUGUUGAACACCCACAUGGUUGCAACUACUUUCAUGUUAUCAAAUAUGGUUUGCAAUAGCCUCAAAAAGACAAGAGAGAAGUUUCUAGAGAAGAAAAAACACACACGCACAAGCAGGUGCGGGCUCAUGCACACCCCACCUCUGUGUGAUAAACAUAGUUGAACAGGGGAUUAGGUUCAACUUCUCCUUUCACGAGGAAAAUUUGUGUCUUUUAAGCUCUAGGAAUGUAUUUGUUUUCCUUAGAUGCAAGCUUAGUCAUACACUUUCAACUCAUUGGUAGUAAUUCCUUUUUUUACUGCAGUCUGACCAGGACUAAUUCUGCUCUGAGGAGUCCUAGCAAUGAAAUGCAAAUGGAGUUUUGCCCUCUGGCGUAAAACAGUUGGCUAUCACUCCUAGAGACCAGGUCUAGACUCCCAAGGAAAGUUAGGGAAGAUGUCGCCCUUGGUUGGCUGUUGUGUGUUUUGAACUUUGGGAAGCUAGAUAACUCUGCUGCACCUUUCUAUUCCCUUGGGAGUCCCAGAUCCAGAUGCAAAAUUGAGAGGAUGUGAUAAUAAAGUUUAGAAAUGAA